rnacentral:tRNA from 12 species
GGGCGCUUAGCUCAGUUGGUAGAGCAGCUGACUCUUAAUCAGCGGGUCGCAGGUUCGAAUCCUGCAGCGCCCACCA